rnacentral:lncRNA from 1 species
UUUGGUCAAUAAUUUGUUAGGUUUAGUUGGCUUGGAGGCUUGAUCAAAAGGCAAUGUCGUGGUUGAUUGAUCGCUUGGGUUGCGGGGUGAGGUAAGUAUUGGGUCUAGCCUUGAUUUGAGGGAAUUAGAAACCCUUGAACUACAUGUUAUGUGAAUUACGUGUGAAAUGGCGUAUAUGCGAGGAGAUGAGUGUAUAUACGCCGUCAAAAUAAUUAUUUUCAUGUUUUCUCGUUUUUCAUGAAUUAUCUCAUUAAAUGCUUUAAUUGUUACAUGCUUUAAUUGUUUUCUAUGCUGUAAUUUGUUAUUUGUCAUUAAGUAUUCUUGUAUGGAAUAGUUUGUCCCUUCACUUACUCCGUGAUUAAUUGCUACUGGCCUUAACUGUUUUACUUGCAUACUUUAAUUGUCACAUGUUUUACUUGUCAUGUUAUUUUGUAAUAUUUGUUACAUUUCUUUGAUUAUUACAUGGUUCAUUUAUUGCCUUGCACUCAUACUCUUUGAUUGUAGAAAUUCUUGUAAAUUGAGUUAUUUGAUUGUUUAUGUUCAUUGAAAUUGUUUGUGGAUCGGGUUGCAUGCAACAACGGGAAUUGAAGGAUAAUAAAUUGAAAUUGUGGAAUAAGGGAGGAUUAUGAUAUUGAUAAAUAAUAAUAUGGUGGGAUUGGGUUGCGCGCCGCAACGGUUUGUGUACGUAAUAAUUGUUAUUGAUAAAUGAUGAUAUGGUGGAAUAAGGGAGGAUUUUGAUAUUGUUUAAUGAUGAUAUGUUGGAACAAGGGAGGAUUAUGAUAUUGAUUAAUGAUAAUAUGGUGGGAUCAGGUUGCACACCGCAAAAGACUAUUUACAUUAUGCCUGAUAUUAAUAAAGAAUGUUAAGGUGGGAUUGGGUUGCGCACCUCAUUUGUUGUGUGUGUUGUACUUGUUGUUGUUGUUGUCAUAAAUUAACUGCUAUACUUUCAUUUUCUGUCUUUUUUCCCUUUUAUUACAGAAAAAUUCCCUUUGAGUUUAUUCAUUUUGUGUACAGGUUAUUGUAAGUGGCUUGCUUUAGCCUCGUCACUAGUUUGUCGAGGUUAGGCUUGGCACUUACAGAGUACGUGAGGUCGGUUGUACUCAUACUACUCUCUGCAAUUCUUUUGCAGAUAACGGAGUGGGUCAUGAGCGAUGUUCAGUAGAUUUACGCGGAUCCAGUUAUGGACGAAGACUUGAUGUACAGCUGUACAACAUUCGAAGUCAUGAAGUCCUCUUUCCUCCUAUCUUUACUAUUUUUUUUCUGAGUUCAAAACAAUGUAUUUUAUUCAGACCCUGUUUUUAGCGCUCUAGACAUUCAUGUAGUCGUGACACCAGUUUUUGGGUUAAGUUUAGGCUCGUUAUUCAGUAUUGUUAUACUAUACUUCAGACUUAUAUUGUUUUCAUUGUAAUUAUCUUGUCGUAAAUUGUUAAAACCAGUAAGUUUUCUAUUCACGUCGGUUUGCCUAGGAAGUAGAUGUUCGGUGCCAUCAUGACCCCGAGGUUGGGAUUCGGGGUCGUGACAAGUUAUAUCAGAGCAG